UUUACCCUGCUUUGUUCGAUACACAGGCAAAGCACUCUGAUCCAGUAUAAACUGUCUCGGGAGUUUGAAUGUGGUGUUGACGUCAUGCCGUCUCCGGACGGACAGCCGACGCACUACCUAGAGCACCCACCUCUACACUUGAGGUUCAGAGUCAUCGCCUGCUUCGGCACGGCGGGGUAUUU
rnacentral:other from 1 species